rnacentral:rRNA from 1 species
AUGCACUGGCACCCAAACCCUGGAGCGACGCUCAACAGCCAGAUCCUGGCGGAGGCCUGUAGCUGCGCGGAGUCCCUCGGCGGCACCAAGGACGGCCGCUGGAAGACCUCCAUCAUCUCCUGCCGCCCGAUCACACGAGACAGCAUGGGCGCCGGCGGGCGGCUGCCUCCAGAUGUGCCCGGCGAUCUCCUCGGUGUCGCGCUCCACGAGCACCCCGGACUCUACUUCUCCAUCCUCCGGACUCAUCGGCUCGUCCUACAGGCUGACGCUGCCUUCCCCCAUGUCAUGGAGAAGCUCCAGUCCUACAAGGCUCGUGUGAGCCUCGACUUUGAGGGAUUCCAAUAUCAACUGGGUGAUUUUUGCUUGAGGAUAGGUAAAUGUGCUCCUAACAAUUCUGAAACAAUGAGAGGAAUCAUAAUGGAGGUAGAGUAUUAUCCCUUAUCUUCCAUCGAAAAGUCCAGGGCAAUUAUGGUAGACUUCUUUGACAUAUGGCAGGAAACACUUGCAAAGAAGUCGCUGCCUGGUCGAUUCAUCCAUGUAGAGUCUAACUUUUCAGAGUAUGGUCUUUCAGAUCACUACUCUUUCCAGCACACCGCAGUUCAGUAUGCUACCUGCUUGCAACAACUCAUGGCUGUGAGGGCCUAG